GCGGGCGUCGUAUAACGGUGAUUACCCCAGCUUCCCAAGCUGGAGAUGACGGUUCGAUUCCGUUCGCCCGCUCCA
rnacentral:tRNA from 1 species